UACGAAGGGGGCUAGCGUUGCUCGGAAUCACUGGGCGUAAAGCGCACGUAGGCGGAUCUUUAAGUCAGGGGUGAAAUCCCAAGGCUCAACCUUGGAACUGCCUUUGAUAUUGGGGAUCUCGAGUCCGGAAGAGGUUGGUGGAACUCCGAGUGUAGAGGUGAAAUUCGUAGAUAUUCGGAAGAACACCAGUGGCGAAGGCGGCCAACUGGUCCGGUACUGACGCUGAGGUGCGAAAGCGUGGGGAGCAAACAGG
rnacentral:rRNA from 1 species